ACGAUUUUUUGUUCCGCCAAGUCUGAAUUCCGACACUAAAAAAAAAUUGCCAUUUUAUCAUUAUUUAUUAAUAGUGCGAAUUGAAAAUACUGAGUGCAAAAUAAAAUAUAUAUAGGUCUGUGUUUAUUGUUUACAUUUCAUCUACUUCCGGACCCGGUGUGUCCUAAAUUUACGAAGAAAUGGUUGAAGACUAGAUCUAGAUCUAGUUCUAGACAUAGAUCUCUAGAUCUACUGAUCUAGUAGUCUAGGUCUAGAUAUUAGAAUUAGAUCUAUUCUUAGAAUCUACCUCCGAGAAUGAAAUCAGCUCAGCCUUGAGUUGGAUGACAUGCUUUAACACUUUUCCCCUGGUGUGAUACAGGAGACAUUAGUAGUCUGAAUCCAUUGCUUCACAAAGCUCUGAGGAAAGUCAGAAUGCAAGCGGUCGAGAUUUGAGGAAGUUUACAACUUCAAUCACUUGAUCCAGAACAGACAUCAAAUAUUUGAAGGCAAGAGCUUCUCUGUGGAUCAUGCAGUGAACAACUAAUACAUUUGGAUUUUCUUGACGCACAAGAGUGAAGAAUCCCUUUCUAUUUCCUCUGCAUGGAAGGACAGCCAUCGGUGCAAACGCUGACACAGUUUGUCUCCACUGUACUUUGAAUAGCAAAAUGUUUUCGUUCACCACUUAAAAAUCUUCGCCUUUGGUCGUAGUUGGUGGCGAUUUUAUUGUUUACCAUGGAGUUGUCUACUUUUCAAAUAUUACUGACCAAGUUUUUUACAGUGACUGAUCCAUCAGCAGUUUCCGAAGCAGUAACUGAUAUCUCAAAAAAAUAUCGCUUUUCUGAUGGUGUCUAGUCACCUCAGAGGAUCAACAGGAUUUGUUCAUUGAAAGACACUUGAAGGUGUAGGCAGUUAAAGCAAAAGGACUUCUUGCAAUGUUUGUUUCAAGGACCAGACACAACAGAAUGCGAUAACAUGUGUAUCGGAAGCUCAAAAUCAGAAACUGAAAUCUGCCCAUGUGGAGUGUCACCAGAGAAUGUUGACCAUCUUCUCCAAAACUGCUCUCUUUACCAAGAGGCUGUACAUGACACUGGCCCCAAAACACCCCAAUAGAAAGAAAACUAUAUGGAGAGUUCCCUGAUUUGGAAACCACUGCGAAAAUAAUCUCAUAUACUGGUCUAGUCAUCUGAAUGCUCCAAUAAAAAAAUGAGAAGGAAGAAGAAAGAAGAUUGAUGUACCAUUUUUGUUUGAGGAUCGGGAGAAAAGUGAUCUUAGAAUUCAAACACCAAAAAGGAGAGCAACAUGGCUAUUGAAAAGCAGAGACCAUACAAACCUCAUUAGAUGAAGAGUCUUAUUUUGUUGGUAAAGUCCUUGGUUUUGAGCCAGCAGAGAAACAUAGAAAGCUCUAUUUUGACAAUAUAUAAAGAGUGACUUUAGCUCAACUCCUCACCAAGCUUUACAGUCUGUGACAUUUUUUUGGUAAAACUUUUAAUCAGAUUUAUGUGUGUAUACUUAAUUAUGUUAACUACAUGUAUCAAGAAUACUCAAUUCAUAAAAAAGAAGCUGCUUUAAAGGAUUAAAGAUAACUUUGACCCUUUUGAGAAAACAAAUUGAAACACAAGAUUUUGAAUUAAUUUUGUAAUUCUUCUAUAUUUUUUUUUUCUGAAAGCCACAUAACGACACAAGUAUUUAUUCAAGGUUUUGAAUGUAUGGUAUACUGUUAGGUUUAGUAUUGAGUCAUUCAGUAAAUUGUUUUUGUUUUGUGGUUUUUAUAAAUUAAUAAAUGGAAGUUUAUAUAAUG